rnacentral:rRNA from 1 species
AGUGAACGCUGGCGGCAGGCCUAAUACAUGCAAGUCGAACGGCAGCACAGCAGAGCUUGCUCUGUGGGUGGCGAGUGGCGGACGGGUGAGGAAUACGUGGGAAUCUGCCCAGUCGUGGGGAUAACGUAGGGAAACUUACGCUAAUACCGCAUGCGCCCUUCGGGGAAAGCCGGGGACCUUCGGGCCUGGCGCGAUUGGAUGAGCCCACGUCGGAUUAGCUAGUUGGCGGGGUAAAGGCCCACCAAGGCGACGAUCCGUAGCUGGUCUGAGAGGAUGAUCAGCCACACUGGAACUGAGACACGGUCCAGACUCCUACGGGAGGCUGCAGUAGGGAAUAUUGGACAAUGGGCGCAAGCCUGAUCCAGCCAUGCCGCGUGAGUGAAGAAGGCCCUCGGGUUGUAAAGCUCUUUUGUCCGGAAAGAAAAGCGCCGGGUUAAUACCCUGGUGUCCUGACGGUACCGGAAGAAUAAGGCACCGGCUAACUUCGUGCCAGCAGCCGCGGUAA